rnacentral:rRNA from 1 species
UACGUAGGGGGCAAGCGUUGUCCGGAAUCAUUGGGCGUAAAGCGCGCGUAGGCGGCCCGGUAAGUCCGUUGUGAAAGUCAAAGGCUCAACCUUUGAACGCCGAUGGAUACUGCCGGGCUAGAGUCCGGAAGAGGCGAGUGGAAUUCCUGGUGUAGCGGUGAAAUGCGCAGAUAUCAGGAGGAACACCAAUGGCGAAGGCAGCUCGCUGGGAAGUGACUGACGCUGAGACGCGAAAGCGUGGGGAGCAAACAGG